UACAGAGGGUGCGAGCGUUGUCCGGAAUCACUGGGCGUAAAGAGCGUGUAGGCGGCCAGACAGGUCCGUUGUGAAAACUCGAGGCUCAACCUCGAGACGUCGACGGAAACCGUCUGGCUAGAGUCCGGAAGAGGAGUGUGGAAUUCCUGGUGUAGCGGUGAAAUGCGCAGAUAUCAGGAAGAACACCUAUGGCGAAGGCAGCACUCUGGGACGGUACUGACGCUGAGACGCGAAAAGCGUGGGGAGCGAACAGG
rnacentral:rRNA from 1 species